UUCAGUGGCGCAGCUUACGCAUUAAGCAUCCCGCCUGGGGAGUUACGGCCGCAUAGGCUAUAUACUCAAACGGGAAUUGACGGGGGCCCGCACAAGCGCUGGAGCAUGUGGUUUAAUUAGAGGCAACGCGAAGAACCUUACCAGCCCUUGACAUCCCGUCGCGGAUCCAGAGAUGGAUCUUUCGGUUCGGCCGGACGGUGACAGGUGCUGCAUGGCUGUUGUCAGCUCGUGUCGUGAGAUGUUGGGUUAAGUCCCGCAACGAGCGCAACCCUUGUCCAUAGUUGCCAGCAUUAAGUUGGGCACUCUAGGGAGACUGCCAGUGAUAAGCUCCAGGAAGGUGGGGAUGACGUCAAGUCAUCAUGGCCCUUACGGGCUGGGCUACACACGUGCUACAAUGGUGGUGACAGUGGGCAGCUACUCCGCAAGGAGAUGCUAAUCUCUAAAAGCCACCUCAGUUCGGAUUGCACUCUGCAACUCGGGUGCAUGAAGUUGGAAUCGCUAGUAAUCGUGGAUCAGCACGCCACGGGAAUACGUUCCCGGGCAUUGUACACACCGCCCGUCACACCAUGGGAGUUGCUUUUACCCGAAGACGGUGCGCUACCAUUCGGGAGGCAGCCGG
rnacentral:rRNA from 1 species